GCUAGUGCAGCUUAGUAGGUAGAGUGCUUGCCUAGCAUGCAUGAGGCCCUGGGUUAGAUCCCUAGCACCGCA
rnacentral:tRNA from 1 species